UCAUCUUUUAAUGGACACUUAGGCUGCUUUUAGAUCUUGGCUAUUAUAAAUAAUGCUACAAUAAACAGGGAUGCAUAU